rnacentral:snRNA from 1 species
GUGCUCCCUUCAGCAGCACAUAUACUAAAAUUGGAACGAUACAGAGAAGAUUAGCAUCGCCCAUGUGCAAGGAUGACACAUGAUUUCAUGAAGCGUUCCAUAUUUUU